rnacentral:rRNA from 1 species
UGGGGAAUAUUGCACAAUGGGGGAAACCCUGAUGCAGCGACGCCGCGUGGAGGAAGAAGGUCUUCGGAUUGUAAACUCCUGUUGUUGAGGAAGAUAAUGACGGUACUCAACAAGGAAGUGACGGCUAACUACGUGCCAGCAGCCGCGGUAAAACGUAGGUCACAAGCGUUGUCCGGAAUUACUGGGUGUAAAGGGAGCGCAGGCGGGCGAUCAAGUUGGAAGUGAAAUCCAUGGGCUCAACCCAUGAACUGCUUUCAAAACUGAUUGUCUUGAGUAGUGCAGAGGUAGGCGGAAUUCCCGGUGUAGCGGUGGAAUGCGUAGAUAUCGGGAGGAACACCAGUGGCGAAGGCGGCCUACUGGGCACCAACUGACGCUGAGGCUCGAAAGUGUGGGUAGCAAACAGGAUUAGAUACCCUGGUAGUCCACACCGUAAACGAUGAUUACUAGGUGUUGGAGGAUUGACCCCUUCAGUGCCGCAGUUAACACAAUAAGUAAUCCACCUGGGGAGUACGACCGCAAGGUUGAAACUCAAAGGAAUUGACGGGGGCCCGCACAAGCAGUGGAGUAUGUGGUUUAAUUCGACGCAACGCGAAGAACCUUACCAAGUCUUGACAUCCUGCGACGAUGCUAGAAAUAGUAUUUUCCUUCGGGACGCAGAGACAGGUGGUGCAUGGUUGUCGUCAGCUCGUGUCGUGAGAUGUUGGGUUAAGUCCCGCAACGAGCGCAACCCUUAUGGUCAGUUACUACGCAAGAGGACUCUGGCCAGACUGCCGUUGACAAAACGGAGGAAGGUGGGGAUGACGUCAAAUCAUCAUGCCCUUUAUGACUUGGGCUACACACGUACUACAAUGGCGUUAAACAAAGAGAAGCAAGACCGCGAGGUGGAGCAAAACUCAGAAACAACGUCCCAGUUCGGACUGCAGGCUGCAACUCGCCUGCACGAAGUCGGAAUUGCUAGUAAUCGCAGAUCAGCAUGCUGCGGUGAAUACGUUCCC